UACGUAGGUGGUUUAUUAAGUCAGAUGUGAAAGCCCCGGGCUUAACCUGGGAACUGCAUUUGAUACUGGUAAACUAGAGUAUGGUAGAGGGGGGUAGAAUUCCUAGUGUAGCGGUGAAAUGCGUAGAUAUUAGGAGGAAUACCAGUGGCGAAGGCGGCCCCCCUGGGCCUAUACUGACACUGAGGUACGAAAGCGUGGGUAGCGAACA
rnacentral:rRNA from 1 species